GUGGCCGAUGACUGGGGUGAAGUCGUAACAAGGUAGCCGUAGGGGAACCUGCGGCUGGAUCCCCUCCUUAACGAA
rnacentral:rRNA from 1 species